rnacentral:rRNA from 1 species
AUUGAACGCUGGCGGCAGGCUUAACACAUGCAAGUCGAGCGGGGUGAUGGUGCUUGCACUAUCACUUAGCGGCGGACGGGUGAGUAAUGCUUAGGAAUCUGCCUAUUAGUGGGGGACAACAUCUCGAAAGGGAUGCUAAUACCGCAUACGUCCUACGGGAGAAAGCAGGGGAUCACUUGUGACCUUGCGCUAAUAGAUGAGCCUAAGUCGGAUUAGCUAGUUGGUGGGGUAAAGGCCUACCAAGGCGACGAUCCCUAGCUGGUCUGAGAGGACGAUCGGCCACACUGGAACUGAGACACGGUCCAGACUCCUACGGGAGGCAGCAGUGGGGAAUAUUGGACAAUGGGCGAAAGCCUGAUCCAGCCAUGCCGCGUGUGUGAAGAAGGCCUUCGGGUUGUAAAGCACUUUAAGCGAGGAGGAAGGUUCGUUACUUAAUACGUAACGGAAUUGACGUUACUCGCAGAAUAAGCACCGGCUAACUCUGUGCCAGCCGCCGCAGUAA